rnacentral:rRNA from 1 species
GAGACGAGUGAACUUGUUCACGAAGCAAUCGGAAGUGGUUCCAAGAAAAGCCUCUAAGCUUCAGUCAUACGAGACCGUACCGCAAACCGACACAGGUGGGCGAGAUGAGUAUUCUAAGGCGCUUGAGAGAACUCGGGAGAAGGAACUCGGCAAAUUGGUACCGUAACUUCGGGAAAAGGUACGCCCCGGUAGCUUGGUCACUUUACUGUGAUAGGGCGAAAGGGUUGCAAUAAACUGGUGGCUGCGACUGUUUAAUAAAAACACAGCACUCUGCAAACACGAAAGUGGACGUAUAGGGUGUGACGCCUGCCCGGUGCUGGAAGAUUAAAUGAUGGGGUGCAAGCUCUUGAUUGAAGUCCCAGUAAACGGCGGCCGUAACUAUAACGGUCCUAAGGUAGCGAAAUUCCUUGUCGGGUAAGUUCCGACCUGCACGAAUGGCGUAACGAUGGCCACACUGUCUCCUCCCGAGACUCAGCGAAGUUGAAAUGUUUGUGAUGAUGCAAUCUACCCGCGGCUAGACGGAAAGACCCCAUGAACCUUUACUGUAGCUUUGCAUUGGACUUUGAACCAAUCUGUGUAGGAUAGGUGGGAGGCUUUGAAGCGGGGACGCCAGUCCUCGUGGAGCCAACCUUGAAAUACCACCCUGGUUUGUUUGAGGUUCUAACCUUGGUCCGUUAUCCGGAUCGGGGACAGUGCAUGGUAGGCAGUUUGACUGGGGCGGUCUCCUCCUAAAGUGUAACGGAGGAGUUCGAAGGUACGCUAGUUACGGUCGGACAUCGUGACGAUAGUGCAAUGGCAUAAGCGUGCUUAACUGCGAGACUGACAAGUCGAGCAGGUACGAAAGUAGGACAUAGUGAUCCGGUGGUUCUGUAUGGAAGGGCCAUCGCUCAACGGAUAAAAGGUACUCUGGGGAUAACAGGCUGAUUCCUCCCAAGAGUUCAUAUCGACGGGGGAGUUUGGCACCUCGAUGUCGGCUCAUCACAUCCUGGGGCUGUAGCCGGUCCCAAGGGUAUGGCUGUUCGCCAUUUAAAGUGGUACGUGAGCUGGGUUUAAAACGUCGUGAGACAGUUUGGUCCCUAUCUGCCGUGGGCGUUGGAAAUUUGAAGGGGGCUGCUCCUAGUACGAGAGGACCGGAGUGGACGAACCUCUGGUGUACCGGUUGUCACGCCAGUGGCAUUGCCGGGUAGCUAAGUUCGGAAGAGAUAACCGCUGAAAGCAUCUAAGCGGGAAACUUGCCUUGAGAUGAGAUUUCCCAGAGCCUUGAGCUCUUUGAAGGGUCGUUCGAGACCAGGACGUUGAUAGGCUGGGUGUGGAAGUGCAGUAAUGCAUUAAGCUAACCAGUACUAAUUGCCCGUACGGCUUGUCCCU